ACGGAAGGCAGCAGUGGGGAAUAUUGCACAAUGGGGGAAACCCUGAUGCAGCGACGCCGCGUGAGUGAAGAAGUAUUUCGGUAUGUAAAGCUCUAUCAGCAGGGAAGAUAAUGACGGUACCUGACUAAGAAGCCCCGGCUAACUACGUGCCAGCGGCCGCGGUAAUACGUAGGGGGCAAGCGUUAUCCGGAUUUACUGGGUGUAAAGGGAGCGUAGACGGCAUAGCAAGUCUGAAGUGAAAAUCCAGAGCUCAACUCUAGAACUGCUUUGGAAACUGCCAGGCUAGAGUGCCGGAGGGGCAAGCGGAAUUCCUAGUGUAGCGGUGAAAUGCGUAGAUAUUAGGAGGAACACCGGUGCCGAAGGCGGCUUGCUGGACUGUAACUGACGUUGAGGCUCGAAAGCGUGGGGAGCAAACAGGAUUAGAUACCCUGGUA
rnacentral:rRNA from 1 species